rnacentral:rRNA from 1 species
GAUGAACGCUGGCGGCGUGCCUAAUACAUGCAAGUCGAGCGAACAGACGAGGAGCUUGCUUCUCUGAUGUUAGCGGCGGACGGGUAAGUAACACGUGGAUAACCUACCUAUAAGACUGGGAUAACUUCGGGAAACCGGAGCUAAUACCGGAUAAUAUAUUGAACCGCAUGGUUCAAUAGUGAAAGACGGUCUUGCUGUCACUUAUAGAUGGAUCCGCGCUGCAUUAGCUAGUUGGUAAGGUAACGGCUUACCAAGGCAACGAUGCGUAGCCGACCUGAGAGGGUGAUCGGCCACACUGGAACUGAGACACGGUCCAGACUCCUACGGGAGGCAGCAGUAGGGAAUCUUCCGCAAUGGGCGAAAGCCUGACGGAGCAACGCCGCGUGAGUGAUGAAGGUCUUCGGAUCGUAAAACUCUGUUAUUAGGGAAGAACAAAUGUGUAAGUAACUAUGCACGUCUUGACGGUACCUAAUCAGAAAGCCACGGCUAACUACGUG